rnacentral:tRNA from 3 species
GCCUCUUGGCCGCUCAGAUGGUAGAGCACGUCAUUCGUAAUGAUGGGGUCGUAGGUUCGAGUCCUAUCAGCGGCACCA